AGUCGGGAACGUCAAAGGAGACUGCCGGUGAUAAACCGGAGGAGGUGGGGAUGACGUCAAGUCAUCAUGGCCCUUACGAGUAGGGCUACACACGUGCUACAAUGGCAUAUACAAAGAGAAGCGAACUCGCGAGAGCAAGCGGACCUCAUAAAGUAUGUCGUAGUCCGGAUUGGAGUCUGCAACUCGACUCCAUGAAGUCGGAAUCGCUAGUAAUCGUAGAUCAGAAUGCUACGGUGAAUACGUUCCCGGGCCUU
rnacentral:rRNA from 1 species